ensembl:snoRNA
UUUCCCAUUUGGCUAUCACAUUAUCUCCUGAUAGAUUUUACUGGCUAUGCUUACGGGAUAGAUGAGAACUGCUGUGAUCUGAAGAGGGAGGAUUUGCCCGUGUCCUCCUCCUGUAUGAAAUGGCUGAACAAGAAAAA